ACAACGGAGAGUUUGAUCCUGGCUCAGGAUGAACGCUGGCGGCGUGCUUAACACAUGCAAGUCGAACGAACCUUCGGGUUAGUGGCGGACGGGUGAGUAACGCGUGA
rnacentral:rRNA from 1 species